UACGAAGGGUGCAAGCGUUGUUCGGAUUUAUUGGGCGUAAAGGGUGAGUAGGCGGACAGAGAAGUCAGAUGUGAAAGCUCAGGGCUCAACCCUGAAACUGCGUCUGAAACUUUCAGUCUAGAAUCUCGAAGAGGGAAGGGGAAUUUCACAUGUAGGAGUAAAAUCCGUAGAGAUGUGAAGGAACACCGGCGGCGAAGGCGCCUUCCUGGGAGAGUAUUGACGCUGAGGCACGAAAGCGUGGGGAGCAAACAGG
rnacentral:rRNA from 1 species